GACUAAAAGGUCAACUAAAUGCCCUCUUAGCUGUCUUAAAACAUUAAAGCUGAAUCAGGUAAAGGAUGGGUCAAAGUUUGAGUGUCGGUUUUCAACGUUCAAUGGAAUGUCAGAGUUUUUUUAAACUGAUAUCAUUUAUAUGGUAGUAAUUAUCAAUCACGACUUCUUAAAUCUUAUUAGCUGGUAAUAGGAGUUGAUUGAUAGUGGAAAAUGCCGAACUAGGAGCAAAGGUAAUGGCUCACGUUUGUUUGAAAAGCUGUAGACUUCAAGCUGCAUAGUCCAUUUUCAAGGUCUUAUGGCCUGAUCAAUAUCUCAGCCUGGGUUUCAUCCCCAGAGCCCCUAAUGGCAGAAACCUCUGGAGCCUCAGUAAUGCUAUCAGUGGGCGGUGGGGGAGGACUUAAGACAGCAUGCUGACACUCUCAUCUGCUAUAAAUCCUAGAGCUGGAAAGAAAAAAUAACUUCUUACAGACUCUUCAGAGGAAAAAAAAAAAGGGGGACCCAUCACUAGAACAGCAAUAACUCACUGCCUGCUGCCCCGUUUAUGAACAUUUUUAGGGAGAAGCCUCUGAAUAAUGAGCUCCGUGUAAUACAGGCUGAGCUCCCUGCUGAAGACCCUUCUGGACAGAGGAUACCACAGAGCGCACACAGUGGCAAUCCACCUCUUCAAGUCUUCGGCCCUGCAGACUGGAUUCACAAAGAGGCACCAAGUAAUGGCUUCCUUAUGGGCUCCUGACGCAAGACUGAUGGGCUGACAGAAGGCAUGGGGGCCACCUUUUGCACGGCUGGAAGGUUUUUACUGGUCGCUCCAUUGACGAAACUGGAGGAAGAGGAGGAGGAGGCAGAAGACGCAGAGGCCGCCUCGGCGACUCCUGCGGGAAGACAAAGAAUGCAAUAAUACUGAAUGCAGAUAAACAUUUAAGACGCAUGGAAGUUAGAAAAUAAUUCAUUGAAUCUAAAGUGUUAAACUUAAUGAUACGAUGGAAUUAAUUAUGUUUGGAAAGAAUUUAAAUUUGGGAAAUUGACAGAUACCAAACUGGUACAGUGUGUCAAAAUGUAAGAUGAUUAUUGAAUAAAAAGUUAAAUUAUCUCUUA